rnacentral:rRNA from 1 species
AUUGAACGCUGGCGGCGUGCUUAACACAUGCAAGUCGAGCGGAGCGGCGAACGGGUGAGUAACGCGUGAGUAACUGCCCCCCUCUCUGGGAAAACAGUUGGAAACGGCUGCUAAUACCGGAUAGUGGGGGAUGACUCGCGUCCUAUCAGCUGGUUGGUGGGGUAGUGGCCUACCAAGGCGACGACGGGUAGCCGGCCUGAGAGGGGUACCGGCCUCAUUGGGCUGCGAUACGGCCCAAACUCCAACGGGAGGCAGCAGUGGGAAAUAUUGCGCACUGGGGGAGACCCUGAUGCAGCAACGCCGCGUGCGGGAUGACGGCCUUCGGGUUGUAAACCGCUUUCAGCCAUGACGCGGUAGUGGCAGAAGAAGCACCGGCUAACUACGUGCCAGCAGCCGCGGUAAUUC